rfam:Camelus ferus unplaced genomic scaffold scaffold688, whole genome shotgun sequence.
GAGGGUAUCGCUCAGUGGUAGACUGCAUGCCUAGUAUGCGUGAGGUUCUGGGUUCCAUCCACAGUACCUCCA